GGCAGUAGCUCAUUGGUAGAGCGCCCACCUCCCACUAGUGAGGCACUGGGUUCGAUUCUCAGCACCA
rnacentral:tRNA from 1 species